ensembl:antisense Gm12300 predicted gene 12300
CAGAACGACAGACACCAAAAGGCAGGGUUAGUACAUUUAGGGACUUUCCUGAAUCCUGGAGAGAUGGACGAGGUCUCUGAUGGAUUAGGUCUUUGUUCUCAUUUUAGCAGAUGUUGGCCCUGUGUGCUGGGUUUUAAGGAUGGAUUGUUCAUAUCCCUUCAGGAAGGUGAUCAAGCAUGCCUCCAGGCUUCCCCGUCUUCCCUCAGGCAUGUGUGUGGUACUUACUGGACUUGGCCUGGCUGCUCUCCAUGCUUAACCUGGGUGACUAAGGAGUUUGUCAUAGAUAUAAGCACAAUGGUUCUUUUCUUUUUCCUCUCCCUGAUGUACAAAAUGAUCGGCCACCAUGGAAAGGGGAAAGGAAGAGACUGACGAGCUCUUGGCAGAUAAAUUUUUUAUCUCCCAAAGUUAUGAGUACAAAACAGAGUGACAAAGAUCUUCACAUUUUGCUCAUCUCUUUGGUCACUUUCCUGCACUUGGAUCAAUCACUCUUCGCUUAUGAUUUUGGUGUGAACCUCCCGGCUCUUCACCCGCAGCUUGUUGACCUGGGACUCCGCGAUGUCAGCCCGCUCCUCGGCUUCCUCCAGCUCGUGCUGGAUCUUGCGGAAUUUGGCCAGGUUCCCAGGAUCUGUUGUCAUUGCUCCUGAUGAGGCUCCAGAGGAUGAAUGAGACUCACACAAGCAAUCCCUGUGACACCAAACUGAAUAUAAAUUAUUGCCACUUGGGUCAUAAAUUAUCCCCCACUUAAUAAAGUUUAGAAAUUAAACAUGUUUAUUAUUCUCUAAAAUAA